rnacentral:rRNA from 1 species
GACGAACGCUGGCGGCGUGCUUAACACAUGCAAGUCGAACGGAAAGGCCCUGCUUUUGUGGGGUGCUCGAGUGGCGAACGGGUGAGUAACACGUGAGUAACCUGCCCUUGACUUUGGGAUAACUUCAGGAAACUGGGGCGAAUACCGGAUAGGAGCUCCUGCUGCAUGGUGGGGGUUGGAAAGUUUCGGCGGUUGGGGAUGGACUCGCAGCUUAUCAGCUUGUUGGUGGGGUAGUGGCUUACCAAGGCUGUGACGGGUAGCCGGCCUGAGAGGGUGGCCGGCCACAUUGGGACUGAGAUACGGCCCAGACUGCUACGGGAGGCAGAAGUGGGGAAUAUUGCACAAUGGGCGGAAGCCUGAUGCAGCAACGCCGCGUGCGGGAUGACGGCCUUCGGGUUGUAAACCGCUUUCGCCUGUGACGAAGCGUGAGUGACGGUAAUGGGUAAAGAAGCACCGGCUAACUACGUG